rnacentral:misc_RNA from 1 species
CCUCCUUAAGAUGACGAAGUUGUUGAGUGUUCACACAGAUUGCCCUUGAUUCAAGUUUAGAGACAGUACACGAAGUGGGUCUGUAGCUCAGGUGGUUAGAGCGCACCCCUGAUAAGGGUGAGGUCGGUGGUUCGAGUCCACUCAGACCCACCACUUCGAUUACGGGGCUAUAGCUCAGCUGGGAGAGCGCCUGCUUUGCACGCAGGAGGUCUGCGGUUCGAUCCCGCAUAGCUCCACCAUAUCGUACUGUAUUUGUCAGAAGACAAAGCCAUGAGUUGAACAACUCGUUCAAUCUAUGCCUUUGACUUCUUUACGAAGUUUGCUCUUUAACAAUCUGGAAAGCUGAUUUAAAAAGUAGUUCUCAAACAUUUGUUACAAGUGCUUUGGAAACUUCUUGGCCGAAAACCAAAUUUUAUUUGGUCCUUGUUGUACAGCAACAAGCUGCGUCGGUUUCACCGACACUUCUUGGGUUGUAU